CAAGAGCGUAUGUAAAAGUUGUUGCAGUUAAAAAGCUCGUAGUUGAACCUUGGGUUUGGUUGGCCGGUCCGCUUUUUUGCGAGUACUGGAUUCAACCGAGCCUUUCCUUCUGGCUAACCAGUCGUUUCGGCGGCUGGCGAACCAGGAUUUUUACUUUGAGAAAAUUAGAGUGUUCAAAGCAGGCAUUAGCUUGAAUAUAUUAGCAUGGAAUAAUAGAAUAGGACGUUAUGGUUCUAUUUUGUUGGUUUCUAGGACCAUCGUAAUGAUUAAUAGGGACGGUCGGGGGCAUCAGUAUUCAGUUGUCAGAGGUGAAAUUCUUGGAUUUACUGAAGACUAACUACUGCGAAAGCAUUGGCCAAGGACGUUUUCAUUAA
rnacentral:rRNA from 1 species